rnacentral:misc_RNA from 1 species
GAUGAAGAACGUAGCGAAAUGCGAUAAGUAAUGCGAAUUGCAGAAUUUCCGUGAGUCAUCGAAUCUUUGAACGCACAUUGCGCCCACUGGUAUUCCGGUGGGCAUGCCUGUUCGAGCGUCAUUAUCCUCCCUCAAACCCCGGGUUUGGUGUUGGACCCAAGUUGUGUGAACAACUGGUCUUAAAGACAAUGACGGCGUCCGUGGGACCCUCGGUGCAACGAGCUUUUAGGAGCACGCAUCGAGUUGCAAGGACCUUCCGGGCCGGUCUCCUUUACUAUUUUACAAGGUUGACCUCGGAUCAGGUAGGAUACCCGCUGAACUUAAGCAUAUCAAUAAGCGGAGGA